rnacentral:pre_miRNA from 1 species
UCUUAAUGAUGAGUGAAGAAAGUGGUUUCUGGAGACAGAAUCUACUCCUGGCAAAGAUGCUGUGAA